rnacentral:rRNA from 1 species
AGCAGCCGCGGUAAUUCCAGCUCCAAUAGCGUAUAUUAAAGUUGUUGCAGUUAAAAAGCUCGUAGUUGAAUUUCGGGAUUAGUACGUUGGUCGUGCCUUAGGUGCGUACUGGUGUUACUGGUUCCUACCUUCUGACUAACCAUCAUGUCAUUAAUUUGGUGUGGCGGGGAAUCAGGACUGUUACUUUGAAAAAUUAGAGUGUUUAAAGCAGGCUCGCGCUUGAAUACAUUAGCAUGGAAUAAUGAAAUAGGACGUUGAUCCUAUUUUGUUGGUUUCUAGGAUUGACGUAAUGAUUAAUAGGGAUAGUUGGGGGCAUUAGUAUUCAAUUGUCAGAGGUGAAAUUCUUGGAUUUAUUGAAGACUAACUACUGCGAAAGCAUUUGCCAAGGAUGUUUUCAUUAAUCAAGAACGAAAGUUAGGGGAUCGAAGACGAUCAGAUACCGUCGUAGUCUUAACCAUAAACUAUGCCGACUAGGGAUCGGAUGAUGUUAAUUUUUAAUGUACUCA